rnacentral:rRNA from 1 species
GAAUUCGUUAUAGCCUACUACGGGGGGCAGCAGUGGGGAAUAUUGGACAAUGGGGGCAACCCUGAUCCAGCCAUGCCGCGUGUGUGAAGAAGGCCUUCGGGUUGUAAAGCACUUUCAGCUGUGAGGAAAGGUGAGUGGUUAAUACCCGCUUACUGUGACGUUAACAGCAGAAGAAGGACCGGCUAACUCCGUGCCAGCAGCCGCGGUAAUACGGAGGGUCCGAGCGUUAAUCGGAAUUACUGGGCGUAAAGCGCGCGUAGGUGGUU